rnacentral:rRNA from 1 species
UACAGGGGGUGCAAACGUUGCUCGGAAUCAUUGGGCGUAAAGCGCACGUAGGCGGUUUGUUAUGUCGGAUGUGAAAGCCCUUGGCUCAACUGAGGAAGUGCAUCCGAAACUGGCAAGCUAGAGUACUAAAGAGGGUCGCGGAAUUCCCGGUGUAGAGGUGAAAUUCGUAGAUAUCGGGAGGAACACCGGUGGCGAAGGCGGCGUUCUGGACUGCAACUGACACUGAAAAACGAAAGCCAGGGGAGCAAACGGG